rnacentral:misc_RNA from 1 species
CCAAAAUUUGCUUGCUUGGAUGGAGUAAUCCGUUCUGCAACAAAACCCCCCACUGCGUACCUGUACACUGUUGCUUCCGUCGGCCUGCGGGUCGCGGCGCCGCUCAGGCGGUGCCUGCGUCCCCCUCCGGUGCCUGACCGAAAGUGGUCGGCUGGGGAGCCGCCGGCGGAUAGCCAUAACCUUCAAACUCUGCACUUACGGUUGUACUUGUCUGAGCUUAGUUGCUAGAAAUGAAAACAAGUUA